GCUGAUGUGGCUCAGUUGGUAGAGCACUCCCUUGGUAUGGGAGAGGUCAGGGGUUCGAAGCCCUUCGUCAGCA
rnacentral:tRNA from 1 species